GCAUAAUCAUUUGCCGUUUAAUUGAUGGCUGGAAUGAAUGAAUAUACGAGAGCUCAACUGUCUCAUUUUUACAAAUAUAAAUUGACCCUCAAGUGAAGAGACUUGAAUUCUUAAAAAAGACGAAAAGACCCUAUAGAGCUUUACCUGAAAUCUAUAUCAUAUAUAACAAAGGUUUAGUUGGGGCAACUAGAGAGCACCUAAAACCUCUCUUCAAAUUUUCUAAUAACGAUCCGUUUUUACGAUAAGUAGAAAAAGCUACCUUAGGGAUAACAGGCUAAUCCUCUUUAAGAGACCAUAUUGACAAGAGGGA
rnacentral:rRNA from 1 species